AUUGAACGCUGGCGGAAUGCUUUACACAUGCAAGUCGAACGGCAGCACGGACUUCGGUCUGGUGGCGAGUGGCGAACGGGUGAGUAAUAUAUCGGAACGUGCCCAGUCGUGGGGGUUAACGUAGCGAAAGCUACGCUAAUACCGCAUACGAUCUACGGAUGAAAGCGGGGGAUCGCAAGACCUCGCGCGAUUGGAGCGGCCGAUAUCAGAUUAGGUAGUUGGUGAGGUAAGGCUCACCAAGCCGACGAUCUGUAGCUGGUCUGAGAGGACGACCAGCCACACUGGGACUGAGACACGGCCCAGACUCCUACGGGAGGCAGCAGUGGGGAAUUUUGGACAAUGGACGCAAGUCUGAUCCAGCCAUUCCGCGUGCAGGACGAAGGCCUUCGGGUUGUAAACUGCUUUUGUACAGAACGAAAAGGUCUCUAUUAAUACUAGGGGCUCAUGACGGUACUGUAAGAAUAAGCACCGGCUAACUACGUGCCAGCCGCCGCCGUAA
rnacentral:rRNA from 1 species